rnacentral:rRNA from 1 species
UACGUAGGGAGCAAGCGUUGUCCGGAAUUACUGGGCGUAAAGGGUGCGUAGGCGGCAGCUUAAGUCAGAUGUGAAAUGCCGGGGCUCAACUCCGGAGCUGCAUCUGAUACUGGGCCGCUAGAGUGCAGGAGAGGAAAGUGGAAUUCCUAGUGUAGCGGUGGAAUGCGUAGAUAUUAGGAGGAACACCAGUGGCGAAGGCGACUUUCUGGACUGUAACUGACGCUGAGGCACGAAAGUAUGGGGAGCAAAC